rnacentral:rRNA from 1 species
GUGGGGAAUAUUGGACAAUGGGCGAAAGCCUGAUCCAGCCAUGCCGCGUGUGUGAAGAAGGUCUUCGGAUUGUAAAGCACUUUAAGUUGGGAGGAAGGGCAGUAAGUUAAUACCUUGCUGUUUUGACGUUACCGACAGAAUAAGCACCGGCUAACUUCGUGCCAGCAGCCGCGGUAAUACGAAGGGUGCAAGCGUUAAUCGGAAUUACUGGGUGUAAAGCGCGCGUAGGUGGUUUUGUAAGUUGGAGGUGAAAUCCCCGGGCUAAACCUGGGAACUGCCUCCAAAACUGCAUGACUAGAGGACGGUAGAGGGGAGGGGAAUUUCCUGUGUAGCGGUGAAAUGCGUAGAUAUAGGAAGGAACACCAGUGGCGAAGGCGACUACCUGGACUGAUACUGACACUGAGGUGCGAAAGCGUGGGGAGCAAACAGGAUUAGAAACCCUUGUAGUCC